GAUGAAGAACGUAGCGAAAUGCGAUAAGUAAUGUGAAUUGCAGAAUUCAGUGAAUCAUCGAAUCUUUGAACGCACAUUGCGCCCCCUGGUAUUCCGGGGGGCAUGCCUGUUCGAGCGUCAUUUCACCACUCAAGCCUCGCUUGGUAUUGGGCAACGCGGUCCGCCGCGUGCCUCAAAUCGUCCGGCUGGGUCUUCUGUCCCCUAAGCGUUGUGGAAACUAUUCGCUAAAGGGUGUUCGGGAGGCUACGCCGUAAAACAACCCCAUUUCUCAGGUUGACCUCGGAUCAGGUAGGGAUACCCGCUGAACUUAAGCAUAUCAAUAAGCGGAGGA
rnacentral:misc_RNA from 1 species